GAUUGAACGCUGGCGGCAGGCCUAACACAUGCAAGUCGAGCGGUAGCACAGAGAGCUUGCUCUCGGGUGACGAGCGGCGGACGGGUGAGUAAUGUCUGGGAAACUGCCUGAUGGAGGGGGAUAACUACUGGAAACGGUAGCUAAUACCGCAUAACGUCGCAAGACCAAAGUGGGGGACCUUCGGGCCUCAUGCCAUCAGAUGUGCCCAGAUGGGAUUAGCUAGUAGGUGGGGUAAUGGCUCACCUAGGCGACGAUCCCUAGCUGGUCUGAGAGGAUGACCAGCCACACUGGAACUGAGACACGGUCCAGACUCCUACGGGAGGCAGCAGUGGGGAAUAUUGCACAAUGGGCGCAAGCCUGAUGCAGCCAUGCCGCGUGUGUGAAGAAGGCCUUCGGGUUGUAAAGCACUUUCAGCGGGGAGGAAGGCGAUAAGGUUAAUAACCUUGUCGAUUGACGUUACCCGCAGAAGAAGCACCGGCUAACUCCGUGCCAGCAGCCGCGGUAAUACGGAGGGUGCAAGCGUUAAUCGGAAUUACUGGGCGUAAAGCGCACGCAGGCGGUCUGUCAAGUCGGAUGUGAAAUCCCCGGGCUUAACCUGGGAACUGCAUUCGAAGCUGGCAGGCUAGAGUCUUGUAGAGGGGGGUAGAAUUCCAGGUGUAGCGGUGAAAUGCGUAGAGAUCUGGAGGAAUACCGGUGGCGAAGGCGGCCCCCUGGACAAAGACUGACGCUCAGGUGCGAAAGCGUGGGGAGCAAACAGGAUUAGAUACCCUGGUAGUCCACGCUGUAAACGAUGUCGAUUUGGAGGUUGUGCCCUUGAGGCGUGGCUUCCGGAGCUAACGCGUUAAAUCGACCGCCUGGGGAGUACGGCCGCAAGGUUAAAACUCAAAUGAAUUGACGGGGGCCCGCACAAGCGGUGGAGCAUGUGGUUUAAUUCGAUGCAACGCGAAGAACCUUACCUGGUCUUGACAUCCACAGAACUUAGCAGAGAUGCUUUGGUGCCUUCGGGAACUGUGAGACAGGUGCUGCAUGGCUGUCGUCAGCUCGUGUUGUGAAAUGUUGGGUUAAGUCCCGCAACGAGCGCAACCCUUAUCCUUUGUUGCCAGCGGUUAGGCCGGGAACUCAAAGGAGACUGCCAGUGAUAAACUGGAGGAAGGUGGGGAUGACGUCAAGUCAUCAUGGCCCUUACGACCAGGGCUACACACGUGCUACAAUGGCAUAUACAAAGAGAAGCGACCUCGCGAGAGCAAGCGGACCUCAUAAAGUAUGUCGUAGUCCGGAUUGGAGUCUGCAACUCGACUCCAUGAAGUCGGAAUCGCUAGUAAUCGUAGAUCAGAAUGCUACGGUGAAUACGUUCCCGGGCCUUGUACACACCGCCCGUCACACCAUGGGAGUGGGUUGCAAAAGAAGUAGGUAGCUUAACCUUCGGGAGGGCGCUUACCACUUUGUGAUUCAUGACUGGGGUGAAGUCGUAACAAGG
rnacentral:rRNA from 1 species